rnacentral:rRNA from 1 species
UACGGAGGGUGCAAGCGUUAUCCGGAUUCACUGGGCUUAAAGGGUGCGUAGGCGGCUAGGUAAGUCCGUGGUGAAAUCCUGCAGCUUAACUGCAGAACUGCCGUGGAUACUCUCUAUCUUGAAUAUCGUGGAGGUUAGCGGAAUAUGUCAUGUAGCGGUGAAAUGCUUAGAUAUGACAUAGAACACCCAUUGCGAAGGCAGCUAACUGCGCGAUCAUUGACGCUGAUGCACGAAAGCGUGGGGAUCAAACAGG